GACGAACGCUGGCGGCGUGCCUAAUACAUGCAAGUAGAACGCUGAAGCGAGGAGCUUGCUCUUCUUGGAUGAGUUGCGAACGGGUGGGUAACGCGUAGGUAACCUGCCUUGUAGCGGGGGAUAACUAUUGGAAACGAUAGCUAAUACCGCAUAACAAUGGAUGACACAUGUCAUUUAUUUGAAAGGGGCAAUUGCUCCACUACAAGAUGGACCUGCGUUGUAUUAGCUAGUAGGUGAGGUAAUGGCUCACCUAGGCGACGAUACAUAGCCGACCUGAGAGGGUGAUCGACCACACUGGGACUGAGACACGGCCCAGACUCCUACGGGAGGCAGCAGUAGGGAAUCUUCGGCAAUGGGGGCAACCCUGACCGAGCAACGCCGCGUGAGUGAAGAAGGUUUUCGGAUCGUAAAGCUCUGUUGUAGGUCAAGAACGGGUGUGAGAGUGGAAAGUUCACACUGUGACGGUAGCUUACCAGAAAGGGACGGCUAACUACGUG
rnacentral:rRNA from 1 species